CCUAACCUGAUUUUCUAAGGUUUUUGGGGCCUAUAAAUACAUGUUUACACCCCUUGGCCAAAGAAGAAUCCCCCAUAUUCAUCAUUUUAUAACAGAAAUUCGUCCAUACACACCCUAGGAAGCAAAACACCCUAAAAACACCAUUCUAGUGCCUAGAAAACAUAACAGCCACUCCACCUUCUUCCACCCUCUUUGCCUAGUUCUCCACCACCUUCCAACCAUCAAACACUCUUCCACACUCACCCUAAACCCCUCCAUAUCAUUCCCCAUCCAUUCUACACCAUAAAUCCACCCAAAAAUCUGUCCACAAGCUUCAUGCCGCAACAAGGAGGAAGGGAGAUCCAUUGAUGCACUUGCUUUCCAAGUUGGAGCAUUUUAGGUGUUUUCUUUCCUUUGAUUUUAAUGUCUAAUUUUAUGUAUCUUUGUAUUGCAAGAA
rnacentral:lncRNA from 1 species